rnacentral:rRNA from 1 species
UUGACCUCAAAUCAGGUGGGACUACCCGCUGAACUUAAGCAUAUCAAUAAGCGGAGGAAAAGAAACUAACAAGGAUUCCCUUAGUAACUGCGAGUGAAGUGGGAAGAGCUCAAAUUUGAAAUCUGGCAGUCUCUGGCUGUCCGAGUUGUAAUCUAGAGAAGUGUUGCCCGCGCUGGACCGUGUACAAGUCUCCUGGGAUGGAGCGUCAUAGAGGGUGAGAAUCCCGUCUCUGACAUGGACUACCAGGGCUUUUGUGGUGCGCUCUCAAAGAGUCGAGUUGUUUGGGAAUGCAGCUCAGAAUGGGUGGUAAAUUCCAUCUAAAGCUAAAUAUUGGCGAGAGACCGAUAGUGAACAAGUACCGUGAGGGAAAGAUGAAAAGAACUUUGGAAAGAGAGUUAAACAGUACGUGAAAUUGCUGAAAGGGAAACGNUUGAAGUCAGUCGCGUU